AGCACAAGUUCUACCUGCUCCCCUGGAGUGUAGGUGUGGGCACAGGAUGACACGUGCCUGUCAUCAAAAACCAGGGCCAGAGUGCUGCACUCCCCAGAGACCCAGGCAUCCUAACUCUGGGGUUCACCACGCAGCUCUGACGCCAGCUGUGUGCCUGCUGCCGGCCCUGCCCCUGUCAAGUGAAGGUUAAGUUACUUGCCCACCUGCAUCACUGUGUGGAUGAAGGGGAGCGGUUUGAAAUGUUGAAACGUCGUAGAAAUGUGAGAAUAUUCAAUUGGGAGCUUGCUUCCUUUGACCUUCAAUGACUGACAGAUUUAGUGGAUCAAAGGGAAUUGGGCAGAAAGCAUGGAAGAAGUGCUGGUGGCCCCUCAUCUUAGCUCUGGGGAAAGGUACUUGGAAGAGAAGAGGAGACCACUCCCUCUGAAGAUUUGGUAGAACAGGUUCUUGCCUCCCAAGAAGGAAAUGAAAGGAAAUGGAUAAGGACUCCUUUUUCUGAAUGGCUGGACGCGAAUUCAGAAAUCAGGGAAACCCAAGACUUCAGCGGAGGAAAGCAUUUAAAAAGAUUUAAAGGCGCAAUCUGAUCAUUCUUGCUACAAUUAGAAGCUACCCAGCCCUAAUGGACUCUUUAGGGGGCAGGGAGCCAUCAUUAUCUUACACCGUCUCCGGAAUUUAAUUUCUCACUCAAAUAAUGCGGGACAAAGACUGAGUCAUGAUAUCCGGGC